rnacentral:rRNA from 1 species
CCACCGCGGUUAGACGAGAGGCCCCAGUUGAUAUUAUAAACGGCGUAAAGGGUGGUUAAGGACGAAUAAAAUAAAGCCAAAUGGCCCCUCGGCCGUCAUACGCUUCUAGGUGUCCGAAGCCCUAAUACGAAAGUAGCUUUAAUAUACCAACCUGACCCCACGAAAGCUGAGAAACAAACUGGGAUUAGAUACCCCACUAUGCUCAGCCGUAAACUUAGACAUCCAACUACAAUUAGAUGUCCGCCAGGGUACUACGAGCAUUAGCUUAAAACCCAAAGGACCUGACGGUGUCUCAGACCCCCCUAGAGGAGCCUGUUCUAGAACCGAUAACCCCCGUUUAACCUCACCACUUCUAGCCACCCCAGCCUAUAUACCGCCGUCGUCAGCUUACCCUGUGAAGGAUAUAAAAGUAAGCAAAAUGGGUACAACCCAGAACGUCAGGUCGAGGUGUAGCGCAUGAAAUGGAAAGAAAUGGGCUACAUUUUCUACCACAGAAUAUUACGAACAUGUACCAUGAAAUAGUGCUUGAAGGAGGAUUUAGUAGUAAAAGGGAAAUAGAGUGUCCCUUUGAACCCGGCUCUGAGACGCGUACACACCGCCCGUCACUCUCCCCUGUCAAAACGCAUUAAAAAUACUUAAUACAAAAGCACUGACAAGGGGAGGCAAGUCGUAACACG